AGUGAACGCUGGCGGUAGGCCUAACACAUGCAAGUCGAACGGCAGCACAGGAGAGCUUGCUCUCUGGGUGGCGAGUGGCGGACGGGUGAGGAAUACAUCGGAAUCUACUUUUUCGUGGGGGAUAACGUAGGGAAACUUACGCUAAUACCGCAUACGACCUACGGGUGAAAGCAGGGGACCUUCGGGCCUUGCGCGAUUGAAUGAGCCGAUGUCGGAUUAGCUAGUUGGCGGGGUAAAGGCCCACCAAGGCGACGAUCCGUAGCUGGUCUGAGGGGAUGAGCAGCCACACUGGAACGGAGACACGGUCCAGACUCCUACGGGAGGCAGCAGUGGGGAAUAUUGGACAAUGGGCGCAAGCCUGAUCCAGCCAUACCGCGUGGGUGAAGAAGGCCUUCGGGUUGUAAAGCCCUUUUGUUGGGAAAGAAAUCCAGCUGGCUAAUACCCGGUUGGGAUGACGGUACCCAAAGAAUAAGCACCGGCUAACUUCGUGCCAGCCGCCGCCGUAA
rnacentral:rRNA from 1 species